rnacentral:rRNA from 1 species
GCCGCUUGCGGCCGGCGUACAGGUGCUGCAUGGCUGUCGUCAGCUCGUGCUGUGAAGUGUUGGGUUAAGUCCGCAACGAGCGCAACCCUGCUGUCUGUUGCCACCACGAGAGGUGGGGACUCAGGCGGAACUGCCGGUGACAAACCGGAGGAAGGUGGGGACGACGUCAAGUCAUCAUGGCCCUUAUGUCCUGGGCUACACACGUGCUACAAUGGCCGGUACAGAGCGCAGCGAGGCCGCGAGGCGGAGCGAAUCGCUUAAAGCCGGUCCCAGUACGGAUUGGAGUCUGCAACCCGACUCCAUGAAGUUGGAAUCGCUAGUAAUCGCGCAUCAGCAUGGCGCGGUGAAUACGUUCCCGGGCCUU